GGAGGUGGAGGAAAGGUGGAGAGAGAAGAUGAAGCAAGCUACUCUAGAACAUGAACUGGAGAUGGAAGAGUUAAGACAGCAGUUAGGAACAGUGAAGGAGACACUGGUGGCCGGCCUAGAGGGAAGAGUGGAGGAGAAAGUAAGGGAGCAACUUCAGCAAGAAAAAGAAAGAAUUGUAAAGAUUUUGGAAACAAGUUUUGUAGAGAGGGAAAGAAAUGCACUGGAAAUUUUGAAGGCAGAGCUGCUGGAAAGGUUGAGGCAGGAGAAGGAGGAAGCAGUGGAAGAAGAAGGAAACAAGAUCAGUGCUGAGUGGAAGAAAGAUUUGCAUAGGAAAGAAGAAGAAAAGAAGAGAGAAAGACAAGAAUUUCUGGAGAAUGAGAGGAGACACUGGGAGAAGGAGAAGGAAGAGGAAGUGCAGAGGAAACUUGCUCUUGUGGUGGAGGAAGGCCGAAGGGAACUGGAGGAGGAGAGAAAGAGACACAGGCUGGAGGUUGGAAAACAUAAGGUCUAGAUUUAGAAUGAUGACAACGACCACAGCCACCACCAGCACCUCCCCCACUAGCCUGCCUUUCUCUUCAAGUCCCAGCGAGGAGCACCCGCCCUCCUCCCCACCCUCCUCUCUCAGCAGAUGGGAGGUGAGAGGGAGAGAAAGAGACAAAGAGAGAAAGAGGGAGAGGACACCCACAAUUCACACUGAAAAUGUUCUGUCUUACUCUAAUGCCUCUCUUUAAUUGCUCAGGGCCUGGACAGACUGAGAGAGGAACUGAUGAAAGAGAGAGAGAGAUAGAGAUUGAAGAGAGAAUUGCAAGUGUAAGAGAGGAAGAAAGGAGG